GGCGAGAUGGCCGAGUUGGUAAGUUAUCCGAAGCCUCUUCCUUCGUCCAAUGACACCAUGUAUUAAUUCAGCACAGGUUAUGGCGUCAGGUUAAGGUCACCUUAGCACUUAAUUCCUGGUGGAGCAAUCCGCGUGGGUUCGAGUCCCACUCUCGUCA